AUACACAAUGCAACUACUACUUAUCUAUUCACUAUGGGUGCUAGUAGGGGCCUCAUGUUUGAAUUUUGCCCAAGACUGUAGAGCCACCACUGUGUCCUGUCUUGAGUAGCUUCUGGGCACGUUGUAGGGCUUAUUCUUCUUUCAGUAGUGCAACUUAGUGCAGGUCUCAGAUACCAUGGUUUGGGCAGUGCACAAGGCAGUUCUGGGGGGACUGUUCAUUAGAAGGGCCUCCUUCCUGAA